rnacentral:rRNA from 1 species
AUUGAGCGCUGGCGGCAUGCCUUACACAUGCAAGUCGAACGGCUGCACGGGAGCAAUCCUGGUGGCGAGUGGCGAACGGGUGAGUAAAGUAUCGGAACGUGCCCAGUCGUGGGGGAUAACGUAGCGAAAGUUACGCUAAUACCGCAUACGAUCUAUGGAUGAAAGCGGGGGAUCGCAAGACCUCGCGCGAUUGGAGCGGCCGAUAUCAGAUUAGGUAGUUGGUGGGGUAAAGGCUCACCAAGCCGACGAUCUGUAGCUGGUCUGAGAGGACGACCAGCGAGGCUGGGGCUGAGACACGGAGCAGACUCCUGCGGGAGGCAGCGGUGGGGAAGUUUGGACAUUGGGCGGAAGCCUGAUCCAGCCAUGCCGCGUGCAGGAUGAAGGCCUUCGGGUUGUAAACUGCUUUUGUACGGAACGAAAAGGUUUGGCCUAAUAAGCUGAGCUCAUGACGGUACCGUAAGAAUAAGCACCGGCUAACUACGUGCCAGCAGCCGCCGUAA